rnacentral:rRNA from 1 species
UGGGAACUGCAUUCGAAACUGGCAGGCUAGAGUCUUGUAGAGGGGGGUAGAAUUCCAGGUGUAGCGGUGAAAUGCGUAGAGAUCUGGAGGAAUACCGGUGGCGAAGGCGGCCCCCUGGACAAAGACUGACGCUCAGGUGCGAAAGCGUGGGGAGCAAACAGGAUUAGAUACCCUGGUAGUCCACGCCGUAAACGAUGUCGAUUUGGAGGUUGUGCCCUUGAGGCGUGGCUUCCGGAGCUAACGCGUUAAAUCGACCGCCUGGGGAGUACGGCCGCAAGGUUAAAACUCAAAUGAAUUGACG